GUGCAUUUUAGCUUCCACCUUGUACUGAAAUGAGAGAAAGAAGAUGCUCUUCUUUGGAUGAGAUGUGGUUAUUUAUUAUGGUUCUACAUGGAAUUGCACCAGUCAGCAACACAUUGUGAUCCCGGGUUUUUUCCAAACCUGCUACCAUAUGCAUUCCUGAUUUUACAUUACUGCCAGAGGAAACAGUGCCUUCAGUUGCUUGAGUUAUUUCAAGAUGUUCAUGCUGCCAGUUGAUCAAUGUACAAUUCUGAGGAAAUACCAAAGAACUGCAGAUGCCGGAAAUCGGAAAUUUCCAGAGCAAAUCAACUGGUCUGACAGCAUCUGUGGAGAGAAAGUAGAGUUCCAGGAAACUCCUGACACAGAGCAAAAAUAAAGCUAAAUGAAGCCCUCUAAGAUGGUCUGCUAUAUUAUGAUGAUGAUGAUGGUGAUAACGAUGAAUACAACAAUCCUCGGCCCCUGCAUUAACAACAGAGCAACUUCAAAACCACCUCCCCCAUCAAGUCAUCUUGACGUUUUAUCAAGAUUUCUAGCAAUUGCAGUAUACUGCUUCACUCUGGAUUGUAUGAUCUGGGCAGCUGAUUGGAUUCCCAGCCUGCAUGCCCAAGGGAAGUUUUCCUGUCAGUGGCUCUGCAUCUGGAAGACCCUCUGAUGGGAGCCCUCCUGUUGUGACCCUUGAUUUUUUUCUGCAGCAAACCCUCCAUCAACACCUGCUUCCAAUAUCGCUAUUGUGGGUCCAGGAAAAUUCUGCUCUCUCUGUCGAGACUCAAGUAGACAGCGCCUUUAUUCCCUUCACACAACUUGACAUCCAGUUGUUUUGCCUGUGCUAUGGUUUGAAUUCAGUGAACAUUAUGGGUUUACUAAGUAUUUCUGUCAAUCGUCUUUUAUUGCCAAUUGCUUUUGUUUUAAUAUAAUCAGUACAGAAACCACUCCUCCUCAGGAAACACUUCAUGUGCCAUCUUGUAUCCCUGUACUGUCUUGAUGAAUAUGUACCAGCACAUCAACCUAGGUCAUUGCCCCAGGCAUGGAGAAACUUCUAAAUUAGUACAGUGCUGUGCUUACCUUGUGGACAGUUGUGGAAUGAGAAAAUGCUAGAAUUGAUCAACUCUGACUGUAGUGCAGAGUCCCACAAGUUGCAGCUUGUCAAAAUUUGUAGGGAAAGAGAGCUUUCUGAGCUGCCAUAUUAUUUUCUUUUCAGAAGUGUGAUUGGCAUGGAAGGGGGGUCAGGGGAAAUGGUGAGAACUGCAAAAGAAGACUUCUCCUGGAAAAUAAUAUACAAGAGGUCAUUAGGAAAAAGCUUCUGAAUUUUCUUGUGGGAAAUGAAGUGCCAAUGAAUAAGAAUAACUUUUGUUGUCGAGGUAACCUUUGCUCUAUCAAGUAAUGGGAGCAAGUGUUGCUCAGUAUACUUGUGUUCAGAAGCCCACUAGAUGUCCAAGCUGCUGUAUUUGCUUUAAAUUCAAUUUCUCAAGAAUGAGCUCCUCUUCUCCAUAUCAAUUGAAGGAAUUGAUGUACUAUUAUUUCAUAGGCACCUGUGGUCUACAGGUAACUUGUUAAAUUCACUAUUAUUCAUCAGUGAGUCUUGGCCUUGACAGUGGGGAGGUUUUCCAUUGUGGAUCCCAUCAUAAAGUCUGAUUUUGUUGUUGUUGACAUCCAUAGUAUGCACUUUCCAGUAGCGGGAUUGGUUCAAAACAGGAGCCCUCAUUAUUUUUUCCUUUCCUAACUCAGAAGCACAGCAGUCAAAUGUUGAAACCUUACUGUUGUCCUAGCUGAGCCCAGCAAAUCUAGCAAUUGCUAGGGGUUGAACUUCAGGCAAUAAAAUAUUCUAGUCAAGUUUUAAUAACCGAAAAUAAGCAGGAGAGCUUAAAGUACAAACUCACGGCAAUACUUGCAUGGAUCAGUUUCCUUGAUUUUUUUUUUGUACCCGGACAAAUUCUUUUGAGCACUUAUCCUGCCCGAGAGUAUAAGCAUGAUAGGAUAAAAGAUUGCUCGAUGUUAGAUGAUCCUUCUCUCAUGAGAGGUUCCAGUCCUUCUGUUACACCCUAUUUAAUCCAUCAUAGUCUGGAAGCAAGAGACAAUUUUUGCAAAUAAAGGAUAGGCCAUUGAAAGAUUUUUGGAUACCAAUGACAUCGAGGUAUAUGAGGAUAAUGGAAGACAAUGUCAUUGAGGUAGAUUAUCAGCCAUGAUCCAAUUGAAUGAGGAGGAGGAUCAAGGAGUUGAAAGGCCUGCUCCUUCAUCUGUGUUCCCAGUGAGAAUAAAAUUCUUACUUUGACCUUGUUUCAAAAUUCUAAAGGGAAAGAAAAUGACUAACUUAAUUAUAUGCAGAUAAUCCUUCAGCCUCAAUGUACAGAUCUCCAUUUCCAUCUUUGAAGAUGCUGCUGGGCCAUUAUAGUGGGUUCUGGAGUUAAGAUGGAGAAACUGUAACAUAUGAUUAUUUAUCAUCUGCCCCAUUGUUCCACAGCUAACUCUGAACGGCAACACAAAGGCACUGAUAGUACAGGGAUGGCAAACCAAAGAAUACACCAAAUAAAACUGCAUUUCUCCAAAUAUCUCCUUUUCAUAAACAAGUAUAUGACUAUUGGUUGCAGGCUAACUAGUUGCCGAAUAUGCACAAUAAACAAUGAAAAUAUUCUUUUCUAUCAAAACAGUUUAAGAUAAAAAACUAGACCAGACAGACCUUAUGGACCAGUGCAUGUAUCAGUGAACUGGAAUUUUAAUGGAAAAUUGUUUGCACUUCGAUGGAUAGAAUGAAUAAUGAAGACCAUUAAUUAUUUUCAGUACAGAAGAUCAAGGAUUAAUUUUAGUUUCAAAGAACUCAAAUACAUCUAACCUAGAGGUUAAAAGUUUAUAGUUCGUGAGAGAUCUAUCUGUAACUAAAAGGAAGUGUAGUUUCUCUGUCCUAGAAAAGAGUUUUUCAGAGCAGUUAAGGGAAUCAAUGAUUAAAAGAUUAGAAAGUUUAAGCUUUUAGUUUUGUGAGUAAUCAUAAAAGAAGAUCCCACAGGAUGGAAGGGAGGAUCAGUUAAGUCAAACUUAAAAUCUUGACACAGAGGGGUAAGGUUUUGCAUUUGAAUCUCUGUAAACUGAUGGUGUUAUUAAGUAGAUUGUAAACUUUGUUUUGCUGGUGUCAGAGUUUAAAAGAGAAAAGUACACUGAUAAUAAGUUUCACUGUUCCACAAACCAUGACAAAAUAUAUUAAAAUCCCAAAUCAAUCACCAAAAUAACUAAUUUGCCUGACUGACUGUAAUU